AUGUCUGCGGAGCUACAGGCUCCGACCCAGGGGAAAGGGCGUCGGGAGGCUGCUCCCGGGAAAGGAAAGAGCUCCGCGGGAGCAGGGUUUAAAGAGCCCCCGCUGGCCAUUGGGUCCCCCGGUGGGGGUAAGCAAGCGCCUUGGCCGCGGUGGCCGGACGCGGGUCGCCUACCGCGGCACUUACGUCUCGGACGGUGCGGCUUGCCUAGGCGCGGCGCUCCAUCCCGGGCUGGGGAAGCGAGGCGCCUCGCUAGCACGUGGGCUGGGGAAAAGUUUGCCGGGAGCCGCCGGGAGCGCCCGGCAGCUCCGGGAUUCCGGCGGACGCCGCGGGCUCGCAGUGCGCCCACGGUCCGCUGGGCUGGCGGCGCUAGCGGGAGCGCGGCGCUCGGGCGACCGGCACGACCGCUCUCUUUCUGGGUCCCUAUCCAACUGGGCGGUUUCCUAGGCUCUACUCCACAGCCACUUCACAUCAGGGAUUUCUCCCUUUCCAAGCUGUGGGAGACAGAACGCUCCCGCGAGGCCGAAGGGAUGUGGCGAGCGCACUUUCCGACGGAGAUGCAGCCGGGCUGAGGCUCGGGAUGCUUCUAUAAGUAGGUGGUGCUGUGGUCCAAGGCAUCUGUGUCAGGCUGCCUCGGAGUUCCUGGGUCCUAAAGCCAGAAACUCUCGGGUUUCCCUGUGGUCCUAAAGAGCGCUGACAGCCUCCAGCGAGCCCAACCCGAGGCAAAUCCCCUCCGGGCUUUCCUGGAGUGCUUGGCUAAACUGAGGAGUGGCUAGGAUGGGGGCGCCCCCUUACCUCGCUGCGCCGGGGAGCCUAGCUGUUUUCACCCCCAAGGCGUCUUUUUCGGGCGCUCGGGGGUCGUUUCCAACCUCUGCCCUGACCUUCCUGCAGGAGCAUCUGACGGACUGAUGGCUUCUCCUAAACCGUCCUUCCUGAGCUACCGGCCAGGACUGCUGAUUCUGACCCGCUGAGUUUGAACUUGAGCCGCAUCCCGAAAGCUACCCCAUCUCUGCCACUUUUUAAUUUACGUCUUCCUUUGUUUUAUAGGACGAUCUGUUAGCGGGCUGAAAUUAAAACGUGCCUUCAGUGUACGGAGUGAAAGGGGUAUUUCCAACAGCUUUCGCUUAUCCCCAGAAGUGUUAUUUCUUUUGUUUCUUCUCCACAAAAACUUUAAAAACUUGUAGUCCUUUGCUUGCAGUACUCAAGAAAUUGGGACCUUGUUUCUUUAAAGGAAAGUUCACUUUCCACUCAAGUAUUUCUUAGUCAUAAUCCUCCUCUCUCCCUCCAGCCUCAAAGACUCCUGAUUUAAACAUCUAGUGCCUUAGGUUUGGAGAAUACACUUGAUGCUACUGAUUUCAUUCUGAUGAAAUCUUCGGUCCUGCCUUCAUUGCUGUAGGAAUGAAUGUAUUUACUCCUUAGGCAAAAGAUAAGAUUUUUUUUACUGCUAACCACGGCAGUAUGAACGUUUGUAGAUAUGACCAUAUGCUAGAAUUUUGUACCGCUUAAAUUUCCUUUUCUAUGCCUUCAGUUUCAGGAGAUGUUCAGAAAUUUAGAAACUUGAGACAAUCAUGUAGAAACAAUAAGACUAUUAGAAGAGUCCUGUUUAUUAACGAUUCCAUUAUUGCCUAUCCAUAACUUUUUUUUACAGACAUCACUAUUACAUAACAACAUUUAUGCGCUAAGAACUUCAGUGUUAUUUCCUUUAUGCAUGCCUGAGAACAUCCAAGUAAAUCCGAGUUGAGGUCACUGGUCCCAUUUCCUAGAUAAGAAAAUUCAGCCCCUGAGACUGGCCCGCAGGGCACAAAUAGAGUUGACAAAACACAUGCAGGAACAGUGGGUCUGUUUCUCAGCUUUCAGUCUUUGAUUUUUAUCACAGAAUUGGAAGCAAUUGGAAACAUUUAGGCUAAGGGAGUGGCCCAGCAUUUAGCAUGAUGGCUUGAUAUUGCAGUAGAUAUUCCUCCACCAUCAUAGAUACCACACACCAAAUUUAUUGCACUUCUAAAGAAGUUAAAUGCCUUUUUAUACAGCUUUGAGACCCAUUCAAGAUCCGUGGUUAUCAUUAUCUUUCAAAAUAUUUAAGGGCAAAUAGAGCACAAAACCAAGUAGAUCUAACUCCACCAUUAACCACCUAGGUCACAUUUGGCAAUUUGCUUGAUCUUAGCUUUCUUGACAGUAUUCUUAGGAAAUAGAAUAAGAUCUCUUUCAUCUCUGCCAUGUUCUGGUUCACAAUUUUCUAUUUCUAUCAAGAAGUUUGUUUUUAUAGGACGAUCUGUUAGCGGGCUGAAAUUAAAACGUGCCUUCAGUGUACGGAGUGAAAGGGGUAUUUCCAACAGCUUUCGCUUAUCCCCAGAAGUGUUAUUUCUUUUGUUUCUUCUCCACAAAAACUUUAAAAACUUGUAGUCCUUUGCUUGCAGUACUCAAGAAAUUGGGACCUUGUUUCUUUAAAGGAAAGUUCACUUUCCACUCAAGUAUUUCUUAGUCAUAAUCCUCCUCUCUCCCUCCAGCCUCAAAGACUCCUGAUUUAAACAUCUAGUGCCUUAGGUUUGGAGAAUACACUUGAUGCUACUGAUUUCAUUCUGAUGAAAUCUUCGGUCCUGCCUUCAUUGCUGUAGGAAUGAAUGUAUUUACUCCUUAGGCAAAAGAUAAGAUUUUUUUUACUGCUAACCACGGCAGUAUGAACGUUUGUAGAUAUGACCAUAUGCUAGAAUUUUGUACCGCUUAAAUUUCCUUUUCUAUGCCUUCAGUUUCAGGAGAUGUUCAGAAAUUUAGAAACUUGAGACAAUCAUGUAGAAACAAUAAGACUAUUAGAAGAGUCCUGUUUAUUAACGAUUCCAUUAUUGCCUAUCCAUAACUUUUUUUUACAGGACAUCACUAUUACAUAACAACAUUUAUGCGCUAAGAACUUCAGUGUUAUUUCCUUUAUGCAUGCCUGAGAACAUCCAAGUAAAUCCGAGUUGAGGUCACUGGUCCCAUUUCCUAGAUAAGAAAAUUCAGCCCCUGAGACUGGCCCGCAGGGCACAAAUAGAGUUGACAAAACACAUGCAGGAACAGUGGGUCUGUUUCUCAGCUUUCAGUCUUUGAUUUUUAUCACAGAAUUGGAAGCAAUUGGAAACAUUUAGGCUAAGGGAGUGGCCCAGCAUUUAGCAUGAUGGCUUGAUAUUGCAGUAGAUAUUCCUCCACCAUCAUAGAUACCACACACCAAAUUUAUUGCACUUCUAAAGAAGUUAAAUGCCUUUUUAUACAGCUUUGAGACCCAUUCAAGAUCCGUGGUUAUCAUUAUCUUUCAAAAUAUUUAAGGGCAAAUAGAGCACAAAACCAAGUAGAUCUAACUCCACCAUUAACCACCUAGGUCACAUUUGGCAAUUUGCUUGAUCUUAGCUUUCUUGACAGUAUUCUUAGGAAAUAGAAUAAGAUCUCUUUCAUCUCUGCCAUGUUCUGGUUCACAAUUUUCUAUUUCUAUCAAGAAGUUUGUUUUUAUAGGGUCUAACCAGUAUGAGGACAGACUCAUCAUUGGUCUGUCUCUGCUUUUUUAAAGGAUACCACUGAACCUCAAAAAUCAGUCAUUUAUUUGGGGGAGGUACUUAGAGUCUCACACUUAAUCGCUUUGGGGCUACUCUGUUGAUAAUGCAGACUUUUUUCUUCUUUGCCAUUCACUGAAUAUUUUUCCUGAUUUCAAGAACCCAGGAAUGUUCUUGCUACUAAAAAAUACAACCCUAGCAGAUCCUAAACUAUCAUUAACUUUAAUCCCAUAUUUCUGCUUCCUUUCAUUUCUAAACUCUGAAUGUGUUGUUGUUGAGCCUCACAGCUCAGUUUCUCCAUCUUGGAGACUCAAUGGACUUUUUCUUCAAACUGAGUUUAGAUGGUGGUUUCAUUAAACUAGCUUUAUAAAUAGAUAUGGGCCUGGUGUCUGUUUACAGAGAAACAUACUGGUGAGAUUGACUUCAUACCACUCAUUGGCGAUAGAGAAGGUCAAGUGAGGGGAGUGAUACUAUAGAUGGAAGGCAAAUUGUGUACUUUACUUUUGUCACUUGUAAUUCAUUGAUAUAGCUAAAAUUCAAUCCUCAAUAAAGAAGAUACCAUGAAUGGGCUCUCCCUUAGC
rnacentral:lncRNA from 1 species